rnacentral:rRNA from 1 species
GUUUGAUCCUGGCUCAGAAUCAACGCUGGCGGCGCGCCUAACACAUGCAAGUCGAACGAGAAAGUGGAGCAAUCCAUGAGUAAAGUGGCGUACGGGUGAGUAACACGUGGAUUAUCUGCCCUUUUGUGGGGAAUACCGCUGGGAAACCGGCGACAAUACCGCAUAAGCUCGAGAGAGGAAAGCCCGCAAGGGCGCAGAAGGAGGAGUCCGCGGUCGAUUAGUUAGUUGGCAGGGUAAAGGCCUACCAAGACUGUGAUCGAUAGCCGGCCUGAGAGGGCACACGGCCACACUGGCACUGAAACACGGGCCAGACUCCUACGGGAGGCAGCAGUGGGGAAUCUUGCACAAUGGGGGAAACCCUGAUGCAGCGACGCCGCGUGAGCGAUGAAGCCCCUCGGGGUGUAAAGCUCUUUCGGCAGGGAAGAUUAUGACGGUACCUGCAAAAGCAGCUGCGGCUAACUACGUGCCAGCAGCCGCGGUAAUACGUAGGCAGCAAGCGUUGUUCGGAGUUACUGGGCGUAAAGGGUGCGUAGGCGGCUUUUUAAGUUUGGUGUGAAAUCUCCCGGCUCAACUGGGAGGGUGCGCCGAAUACUGAGAGGCUAGAGUGUGGGAGAGGAAAGUGGAAUUCCUGGUGUAGCGGUGAAAUGCGUAGAUAUCAGGAGGAACACCGGUGGUGUAAACGGCUUUCUGGACCAUAACUGACGCUGAGGCACGAAAGCGUGGGUAGCAAACAGGAUUAGAUACCCUGGUAGUCCACGCCCUAAACGAUGCAUAUUUGGUGUGGGCCAUUCAUUUGGUCCGUGCCGGAGCUAACGCGUUAAAUAUGCCGCCUGGGGAGUACAGUCG